rnacentral:rRNA from 1 species
CCAGACUCCUACGGGAGGCAGCAGUGGGGAAUCUUCCGCAAUGGACGAAAGUCUGACGGAGCAACGCCGCGUGAGUGAUGACGGCCUUCGGGUUGUAAAGCUCUGUUAAUCGGGACGAAAGGCCUUCUUGCGAAUAGUGAGAAGGAUUGACGGUACCGGAAUAGAAAGCCACGGCUAACUACGUGCCAGCAGCCGCGGUAAUACGUAGGUGGCAAGCGUUGUCCGGAAUUAUUGGGCGUAAAGCGCGCGCAGGCGGAUCAGUCAGUCUGUCUUAAAAGUUCGGGGCUUAACCCCGUGAUGGGAUGGAAACUGCCAAUCUAGAGUAUCGGAGAGGAAAGUGGAAUUCCUAGUGUAGCGGUGAAAUGCGUAGAUAUUAGGAAGAACACCAGUGGCGAAGGCGACUUUCUGGACGAAAACUGACGCUGAGGCGCGAAAGCCAGGGGAGCGAACGGGAUUAGAUACCCCGGUAGUCCUGGCCGUAAACGAUGGGUACUAGGUGUAGGAGGUAUCGACCCCUUCUGUGCCGGAGUUAACGCAAUAAGUACCCCGCCUGGGGAGUACGACCGCAAGGUUGAAACUCAAAGGAAUUGACGGGGGCCCGCACAAG